rnacentral:lncRNA from 10 species
AGUCCUCCAUCACGUUGCUUCCUGAUGCAUCAUUUUCUUAAGAGGACAUCUGUCCUUCCUCUUCAGGAGACUUGGGGGGCCUCUUGGAUCGCGACCUUGACUUGGAUUUCCUCUUGGAUACCCGGGGAGGACUCCUGGUCAUAGAUGAAGACCUGGACCGCGAGCGAGACCUGGAGACCGAGGAGGACUUGGAUCGUCGCGCAGAGCUCGAUUUGGAGGUUGAUGCAGAGCGAGAGCUAGUGGAGGACCCAGACUUCGAGUGAGACCGGCUGCUGUGAUAUCGGCUGUAGCGAGAGUUACUGUAACCAGAUGAGCUGUAGUGAGAUCCGCCGUAGCGAGAUUCCCUGUAGCGAGAUCUGCUGUAGGGAGAGCGGCUGUAGCGCGACCGGCUGUAAGGAGAUCGGCUGUAGGGAGACCGGCUAUAGCGAGAACCCCUAUAGCGAGAUCGGCUGCGGGACCUGGAGCAGCUGGGACCCCGGGAUCGGCUGCGGUGUCGC